CCCAUCAGCUAAACUACUCAAAUUUCCUCUCUGACUUUCUAAGGGUGCGAUUUUCAGCUUUCAUACAGUACGGAAUCUACACGGUUUAAACGUUUGGGGUCGGUAGGAUUUUUUUAUGUUUUUGUCUCUUAUGUGCACCAAGGCUGCAUUUAUUUGAUCAAAAAUACAGUAAAAAAUAGUGAAAUAUUUUAAAAAUGUAAAACAGCUGUUUUCUAUGUGAAUAUAUAGUAAACUGUAAUUUAUUUCUGUGAUGAAAGCUGAAUUUUCAGCAUCAAUACUCCAGUCUUCAGUGUCACAUGAUCCUUCAGAAAUCAUUCUAAUUUGCUGCUCAAGAAACAUUUAUGAUUAUUAUCAAUGUUGAAAACAUAUUUUUGUGGAAACAAGGAUAGAUUUUUUUCAGGAUUCUUUGAUGAUUAGAAAGUUCAAAAGAACAGCAAUUUUAACAUUAUAAAUGUUUUUACUAUCACUUGUGAUCAAUUUAAUGUGUCCUUGCUGAAUAAAACGAUUCAUUUAGUUAAAAAUCUUAUUGACCCCAGACUUUUAAACAUUAGUGUAUGUACACAUUAGGGACGUGACGGUGAGGAAAUGAAUGCCCGUGCGGCCGCGCGCAUUUUACUUCCGCUUCAUUAUUAUUCAUAAUGAAAAACACAACAAAUAGAAAAACACAACUAAUCCUUUGCAGGUUCCCUAUUAGCAUUGGGUUUCAAUCCAAAAUAUUGCCAAAUAGGCGCUUUUACAUUUUGCUUUGACACAAAAUCUUCCGCCACUGUCUUGUCAGUCAGCUCCUCACUCUCGUGAUAAAUGAAAUCUGACUCCUGCUGCUGAUCUGUGCUGCAUUGGGCUGACACAUUCAGCUUUUAACUGUAGUGUCUGUUUUCUGAACUAAAUGAUUUUUAUUACUGUAAAAAAAAAAUCAAAACAACGGUGGGGGCGAUGCCGCGGUGGGCAAGUGAUGUAACCGGUGUCGUGGCUGAACACCGUCAACACAGACUAUCGCAGCAAGCCUUGUACACACUGCAAAAUCAAGACUGUAAAUGAAGAGAGAGAUUAAGUUUAUCAUCUCACACUUUUAUCAGUUGCACUUUUACACAUUUCAACCAGCUUCUUUCAGAGCCAGUGUUUCCUGAACCUACUUCACCAGCGAAGCAAAAGCGAGGGCUUGUCACUGGCUGUUCUGGGAUGCCUGGCUGGCUAAAACGGGAAAUGUCAAGCACAGCCAGGGCAGGUAUAUGCUACAGCGGUGUGCAAGGUCACAUCCCGACCCCUGCUGAGCAAACCCCACAGCGCUUCAAGUGUAUGACGAACUUGAACAUGCAUCCGAAUGCGACCCAGCAGGUACAGAUGUGGAUUACUUCAAACUUUACUGUGUCUCUGCAGACGUAGCUGUUUAUUCAAUGCACUGUGCUGACUGUGCAAGCGUGGGAGGUUCUUGGAAAAGCAGUCGGAAGGCUAUACGUCUGCCAUCAACUCCCCGCUGACAUGCUUUUUGCAGCAUUCGGUUUCAUUCUCCUUGUUAACUCAUGUCAGACUGUAAGACGUAAUCGCAAAACCUCUGCAAACUCGAUACAAGACCCUGUGUGGCAGAAAGGGCUGAAGACAGGACUGUACGCAAUUGUUUUGAACAUUGCACUGGAGCUACAUAUGUUUACAUGCAAUUAUAGUAUAAAACUCCUGUUACCAUUUCUGAAAGCAGCUAUGCAUGUAUGCUAUUUAUGUUAAUGACAUCAAUAACAUAUGCCAUUGUUUUUGAGUUUACGGACCAUAAGAAAUUGAAUAAAUAUAAAUAAAAGUGUCAUGAAAUGA